GGGAAAAUAACGCUGAGACAGUCUGAACUUUUUGUUAGAGUUCAUGAAUUUUUAGGAGCUGUCGAGGCUUUUAAUGCUGCUUUGAAAUGGAGAACGGAAGGAAGCAUGGAGAGUUUCCUGUUUGUUCUGCUCGGUUUCAGUUCCAUGAAGAGGUUUCUGCUUUGGGGACCUUCUCCCACCACAGCUUGCGGUUCUGUUUUAGUCAGCUUCUGAAUGUCGAUAACCAAAGAUGUUUACUGUCCUUCCAUGGAAUGAAAAGAAGGAACUCUCCUGUUUAUUCCUCAGAUCUGUGUGGCAAAGAUCUUCCUGCUGUGUUCUCUGUGUAUCUGUGUGUACUUGGUGCCCAUGAAGAACAGAAGAAGGUAUCAGAUUCCUCAGAACUGGAGUUACAAGUUGUUGUGAGCUGGCAUAUGUGUGCUCUGAAUCAAAUCUGGAUCAUCGGCUCCACGAGUGAAAAUUUCAAAGAAUCAAUAAACUUUUUAAAGUCAAGUUUAAUUAAAGUAAAAAAAAAAAAAAA
rnacentral:lncRNA from 1 species